GAUCUUUGUUAAUUGCAUUUCAGUCAUUUUGCAAAUGUGUUGGUGAUGUAGAAAUGGGAAAGCUAUUAGCUCGAGAUGGGGAACAAACUGAGAAGGACAAAUGGAUCGAGCUUGUUCAGGAAAUCGCAUGCAGUUCCUCAGUAAAACGACCAAAAGAUGUUCUGCCAACUUGCGUUAUCUUGUGUAAUGCUCUCAACCGAAACCAGAGG